UUUAAAUGUCUUUAUGGAGGAACGCCGUCUCUGGUAGGCUAGUGGUUAAGGCGCAGCGCUCUCACCGCGGCGCCCCGGGUUGGAAUCAGGGUUGGUUAGGAAGCGCGUCCGGCGUAAAACACGUGCCAAAUGUGACGAUUCGCUGUUGCGAACCCUAAACGGGAAAAGCCGAAAGUGACUUUCUAUGGAGGUGAAGGAAAGAGCAACUCACAAAGAGACAGAUUUACAUGGACAACAGGAGGAGAGAGGCCAGUGAACAACCACAGGCAGAGAAGCUCUGAACAUUUCCAUUUUAACCUCUGGUUUGGGAUUCAGCCAAUCAUAAGACAGGAUUUCACGGCAGGCCCUUAAUCCAGGUGUGACCCCGCCCCCUGUGUGUCAGCCUGAAGCUUCUUCCCUUCUGUCCUUGUAUGGACUUAACUCAGUGGAAACUGCUCUGCUGCCACACCUGCACUGAGGAGGAAGCCACAGUCACUGACGUUUUACAGCCUGCAGCUGUUUUUACCACAUCUGGCUGAAGGAAGCAGAGACGACACAGACCCAGAGUUUACUGAGGAAAUUAAUUAAUGUGAUGCGGUAACCACACAGAAUCUGGAAAUCCCUAAAUGUUGUGAGCUGGGAGGAGAUUUAGAGCCUGUGUCAGUGUCCUCACUGCAUCAGAGAAAACUGGGUUCAAAUACUGCUCAUAUAAGGAAGAGAUCAUUUAAACCCCAUGGAGACAGCUCCAAGCUCACUGUCACAUGGUGCAGCUGCUUUCCUUAUAUGGACACAGCAGGUGAGAGGACACACCUGCUGUGAACAGAUGCUUCACUUUCCACUUCAGCAACAUUCACCUGAGAGACGCAGCAACCAGCCGCUUGGUGGAAUCAGGUUUUUAUUGCAAAAUAAAUGAUAAACUGAUCAAAGCUACAGCAGUGGAAAGUA